rnacentral:rRNA from 1 species
AUUGAACGCUGGCGGCAGGCCUAACACAUGCAAGUCGAGCGGAUGAAGGGAGCUUGCUCCUGGAUUCAGCGGCGGACGGGUGAGUAAUGCCUAGGAAUCUGCCUGGUAGUGGGGGAUAACGUCCGGAAACGGGCGCUAAUACCGCAUACGUCCUGAGGGAGAAAGUGGGGGAUCUUCGGACCUCACGCUAUCAGAUGAGCCUAGGUCGGAUUAGCUAGUUGGUGGGGUAAAGGCCUACCAAGGCGACGAUCCGUAACUGGUCUGAGAGGAUGAUCAGUCAAAACUGAAAUGAGACCCGGUCCCGGCCCCCUAGGGAGGGCGGCGGUGGGAAAUUUUGAACAAUGGGGGAAGCCCUGAUCAGCCAUGCCGCGUGUGUGAAGAAGGUCUUCGGAUUGUAAAGCACUUUAAGUUGGGAGGAAGGGCAGUAAGUUAAUACCUUGCUGUUUUGACGUUACCAACAGAAUAAGCACCAGCUAACUUCGUG